UAGGGAAUCUUCGGCAAUGGACGAAAGUCUGACCGAGCAACGCCGCGUGAGUGAAGAAGGGUUUCGGAUCGUAAAACUCUGUUGUUAGAGAAGAACAAGGACGUUAGUAACUGAACGUCCCCUGACGGUAUCUAACCAGAAAGCCACGGCUAACUACGUGCCAGCAGCCGCGGUAAUACGUAGGUGGCAAGCGUUGUACGGAUUUAUUGGGCGUAAAGCGAGCGCAGGCGGUUUCUUAAGUCUGAUGUGAAAGCCCCCGGCUCAACCGGGGAGGGUCAUUGGAAACUGGGAGACUUGAGUGCAGAAGAGGAGAGUGGAAUUCCAUGUGUAGCGGUGAAAUGCGUAGAUAUAUGGAGGCACACCAGUGGCGAAGGCGGCUCUCUGGUCUGUAACUGACGCUGAGGCUCGAAAGCGUGGGGAGAAAACAGG
rnacentral:rRNA from 1 species